GCCGCUAUAGUAUAGGAGCAGUACCCCGGCUUGUGGCGCCGGUAGCCCCGGUGCGAUUCCGGGUGGCGGCA
rnacentral:tRNA from 1 species